AUUGAACGCUGGCGGCAGGCUUAACACAUGCAAGUCGAGCGGGGUGAUGGUGCUUGCACUAUCACUUAGCGGCGGACGGGUGAGUAAUGCUUAGGAAUCUGCCUAUAGUGGGGGACAACAUCUCGAAAGGGAUGCUAAUACCGCAUACGUCCUACGGGAGAAAGCAGGGGAUCACUUGUGACCUUGCGCUAAUAGAUGAGCCUAAGUCGGAUUAGCUAGUUGGUGGGGUAAAGGCCUACCAAGGCGACGAUCUGUAGCGGGUCUGAAAGGAUGAUCGGCCACACUGGGACUGAGACAAGGCCCGGACUCCGACGGGAGGCAGCAGUAGGGAAUAUUGGACAAUGGGGGGAACCCUGAUCCAGCCAUGCCGCGUGUGUGGAGAAGGCCUUAUGGUUGUAAAGCACUUUAAGCGAGGAGGAGGCUCUUUUGGUUAAUACCCAAGAUGAGUGGACGUUACUCGCAGAAUAAGCACCGGCUAACUCUGUGCCAGCCGCCGCAGUAA
rnacentral:rRNA from 1 species